CCAAUGUGAGCUCGUCACGCCACUUCACUUAAGGCAUUUUAUGUGAUAGAGGGGUAGUAUAGCAGGUCGUAGUCGCUUCAGUAAUUUACGAGCAUAUGUUGCAGACCGAAGUGUGAGAAGCUAUAUGGAAUUGAAACGGUUUCACACACUCUUCUAUGUCUGGACUGCAUUGCUCUGUUCCCGAGGAUAUGGACUUGAAGACGGAACAGUCGCAUUUGUACAGUAUGCCUGCAUGUACAAACAUCAUUAUAUUCAGAGCACGUAUUAUAUGAAGCAUGAGUGCAAACGGUUAACAUGCUCCAUGUCUGAAAGGAAGCUUACGAUUGAAGAGUGUGCCGGUUCUGGUUCGGAUAAUAGUUCGUGCAGCAUGGGAAAAGUCUCGAAACAACGAUUUCCAUUUUGUUGCAAAUCUCGCAUUUGUCGAGAUAAUAGGAGCAGCUCUGUGGGAUAAGCAGGCACGGAUGCUACACAUAAUGCAACAACUGGAAGAGCUCGAAGAGGAAAAGGAGCACUCUGAACGGGAGCGCAACCAUCUUGCGGUCACGGCUGCUCGGCUCAUGUUGCGCGAACGGCGUGUGUGGACGUAUGCACGGCCAGAGUCGUGGUUCGAGACAACGCUAUCGCUUCUUCCCGCGAGUGCAAUCAGAGAAAACUUCCGGUUGGAUGUGAGCACGUUUCGGUACAUCGUAAGUGUUUGCGGCAGCAUGGCACGGCUAGACACAAACAUGCGUAAAGCCAUUCCUCUGACGAAACGCGUCGCCGUUGGUUUAUACAGGCCGGCUUCAUCAACUGAAGAAAGAACAGUGGCGAACCUCUUUGGAGUCAGUAGGUCGUCUGUCAACCUCAUAUUCCGCGAUUUCUGCGAUGUAGUUGUGCGACGUCUGCAACCACGGUUUGUCCGAUUUCCGAAGGCGGAACAGCUGGCCGAGCACCUUCGCCAGUUUGCGGCUGUUGCUGGCUUCCCACAAGGAGUAGGCGACCUCGACGGCUGUCAUAUGGAAGUGUGCCCGCCUAAGGAAGACGCGAGAGGCUAUUAUAACUAUAAGGGAUGGUACAGUACCAUUCUGUUGGCUGUGGUGGAUCACCAUUAUAAGUUUAUGUACACCAACGUGGGAUCACUAGGAUACAUGAUGCAGCGGUGUUUGAGAGAGGAGUAGGCGCCCUCGACGGCUGUCAUAUUGAAGUGUGCCCGCCUAAGGAAGACGCGACAGGCUAUUAUAACUAUAAGGGAUGGUACAGUACCAUUCUGUUGGCUGUGGUGGAUCACCAUUAUAAGUUUAUGAACACCAAUGUGGGAUCUCUAGGAUACACGAUGCAGCGGUGUUUGAGAGAUCUCGACUGCCAAAACUUUUGGAAAGCGACCUGUUCAAAAUCGAAGUGAAACAGAUGCAAGGAGUGGCUGCUGGUCCUGUCAUUCUUGCUGACCAGGCAUUCCCACUGCAACCGCACCUGGUGAAGCCCUAUGCAAGGGCAGGGCCUGAAGGAUCGAGCUCGAGGGCAUUUAAUUAUAGACUGCCUAGCGCCAGGCGUGUGGUCGAGAAUGCAUUUGGGCGACUCAAGGCUCGGUUCCGCAUUCUACACAAAGGGCUCGAAUGCGACAUAGACAAUGUGAACUCAGUCAUUCGUGCUAGUUGUGUACUCCACAAUAUUUGUGAAGGACUCACAGAUCAGUGUGAAGCGAGUUGGCUACAGGUUGUCCGGAUUGAAGAUGCGAGCCGCAGUCAGCCAGUGUGCGUAAGCACUCAACAGGAUGAACUGGGAGUGCAAGUUAGAGAUGCCCUUGCACAACACCUCAUUACUCAUGCACAGAACUGAGAAUUUAAUUGUGUGAGCAAGAUGACUGGUUAAAAGACACGUAAACAUGUGCAUCGUUACACAUUGUGUUACAUAUGGCUGAUGCUGCAGUGCUGUACUUUUAUCUCUAUUACAAACAGGUGUCUCUUUCAAUACACUGGAGUAUGUUCUCCUCAUUGUGUUAACAGGCUUGUUGAUGCAUGCCUAAAACAUGUAUUAACACAAGAAAGGCAACAGGACAAAGUGCUUAACAGCUGGACUGUGCCUUGCCCUAUCAUCUUACUUGUGUUAUGUUUUUAUGCCUAGCAGUUACGUUCUGUACACUGAUACUGACUGAGCCACUAACUUGCCCCUUUUUAUCUAAGUGUGAGACCUGUCAUUCGCAUUGCUUGACUGUAUAACUCCUCUGCCUGUUAAUCAGCAAGGAAAAAAUGUAGACGUACCACUGAAAAAUCGCACGCUAUAUCGUGGAAAGUUUUUACUUUGAGAGUGAUGAAAGUACACGUGGUUGUAUGUGAUCAUUACACAGGUGUGGAGAAACAUGGAUACGUCUACAGGAAAAGGACAAGUCGUAACUAAAGAAAAAAAACAAAGGGCAUUCCCGUACAUCACACAAACACACACACUCGCGAACAAGUCUCUCAUUAGAGGUGAUGCCUUUAUUUCCACUCAAUUCCUCUUUUUAGCAACAAAAUCAUUCAUAACAUCCAACAUUCCUUUUUGAAUGUCAUUGGACUCUCUCUGCAAUUUCACAAGUUCCUUUCGGAGCUCCAUGCUAUUUUCAGCUGCUUUUGCUGACCGUUCCUCAGCCUUUUUAUGUAGUUGUAGCAGCUCUUGCAUCACACUGAGUGGCCGCUUCCUAGUCUUUGUUUAACUGCUGGGUGUGCUACGAUUUUUGCUCUGGGCAACUACACUUGUGGCAUCACAUCCUUCGGCAGCUGUGGCAGUGACAGCAGGAAGUUGGGCCUCCACAGUGCUGCUAGAUGUCUUGACUUCUUCUACUGAUGAGUUGUUGUCCUCAGUAGAUUCUUGUGUCCAGGAGGCCAGCACUACUGACUCAUCAGGAACCUCCUGAACUACUGGAAUCUCUACAGGUCCAAGCCACAUAAAUUGCACACACGUCAGUUCAAAACAAGCUCACAGAAAUACGUUCCAAACACACAGGCAUGGCUGCAUAAAAUUCAACCAUCAUGUUGUACAAUGAUGUUUUUUGCGUAAAUUAUAUUGUAUACAGUUAGCACCAUUCUGCCUGUGCU